UACGUAGGGGGCUAGCGUUGUCCGGAAUCAUUGGGCGUAAAGAGCGUGUAGGCGGCCCGGUAAGUCCGCUGUGAAAGUCGGGGGCUCAACCCUCGAAUGCCGGUGGAUACUGUCGGGCUAGAGUACGGAAGAGGAGAGUGGAAUUCCUGGUGUAGCGGUGAAAUGCGCAGAUAUCAGGAAGAACACCAAUGGCGAAGGCAGCUCUCUGGGACGGUACUGACGCUGAGACGCGAAAGCGUGGGGAGCGAACAGG
rnacentral:rRNA from 1 species